rnacentral:rRNA from 1 species
GAUGAACGCUGGCGGCGUGCUUAACACAUGCAAGUCGAACGGAAAGGCCCAAGCUUGCUUGGGUACUCGAGUGGCGAACGGGUGAGUAACACGUGGGUGAUCUGCCCUGCACUUCGGGAUAAGCCUGGGAAACUGGGUCUAAUACCGGAUAGGACCACUUCUUGGAUGUUGUGGUGGAAAGUUUUUUCGGUGUGGGAUGAGCUCGCGGCCUAUCAGCUUGUUGGUGGGGUAAUGGCCUACCAAGGCGUCGACGGGUAGCGGGCCUGAGAGGGUGUACGGCCACAUUGGGACUGAGAUGCGGCCCAGACGCCUACGGGAGGCAGCAGUGGGGAAUAUUGCACAAGGGGCGCAAGCCUGAUGCAGCGACGCCGCGGGGGGGAUGACGGCCUUCGGGUUGUAAACUCCUUUCGCUAGGGACGAAGCGUUUUGUGACGGUACCUGGAGAAGAAGCACCGGCUAACUACGUG